GAUGAACGCUGGCGGCGUGCCUAAUACAUGCAAGUCGAGCGAACGGACGAGAAGCUUGCUUCUCUGAUGUUAGCGGCGGACGGGUGAGUAACACGUGGAUAACCUACCUAUAAGACUGGGAUAACUUCGGGAAACCGGAGCUAAUACCGGAUAAUAUUUUGAACCGCAUGGUUCAAAAGUGAAAGACGGUCUUGCUGUCACUUAUAGAUGGAUCCGCGCUGCAUUAGCUAGUUGGCAAGGUAACGGCUUACCAAGGCAACGAUGCAUAGCCGACCUGAGAGGGUGAUCGGCCACACUGGAACUGAGACACGGUCCAGACUCCUACGGGAGGCAGCAGUAGGGAAUCUUCCGCAAUGGGCGAAAGCCUGACGGAGCAACGCCGCGUGAGUGAUGAAGGUCUUCGGAUCGUAAAACUCUGUUAUUAGGGAAGAACAUAUGUGUAAGUAACUGUGCGCAUCUUGACGGUACCUAAUCAGAAAGCCACGGCUAACUACGUG
rnacentral:rRNA from 1 species